rnacentral:rRNA from 1 species
UACGUAGGGUGCGAGCGUUGUCCGGAAUUAUUGGGCGUAAAGAGCUCGUAGGCGGUUUGUUGCGUCGGCCGUGAAAACCUGCAGCUUAACUGUGGGCCUGCGGCCGAUACGGGCAGACUUGAGUUCGGUAGGGGAGACUGGAAUUCCUGGUGUAGCGGUGAAAUGCGCAGAUAUCAGGAGGAACACCGAUGGCGAAGGCAGGUCACUGGGCCGCAACUGACGCUGAGGAGCGAAAGCAUGGGGAGCGAACAGG